CUUACCUUUUUCUUUCUUAUUUUAAAGUUUACUUAUUUAUUUUGAGAGACAGAGAAAGUGGGUAGAGGAGGGGCAGAAUGAGAGGUAGAGAAUCUCAAGCAGGCUGGCAUUGCCAAUGUGGAGCGGGACAGUCGGGGUCCACCCCGCAAACAAUAAGAUCUUGACCUGAACUGAAACCAAGAGUCCCAUACUUAACUGACUGAGCCACCGAGGCACUCCUGAAGCUUACCUUUCUCUUGUCUUUAUUCUUCUGCACCCCCUGUUUUUCACCGGGGUGUGGGUGGUGGUGGAAAGGUUGGUUCACAACCUUAGGGAUUUCCUGGCGUGGUCUGAAACUGGCUCCCGUAGAAAGAGGGCGAGGAGAGGUGGAAGAAAGAAGCAGCCACUCCAGAUUGGUGGUGGCAGCUUUAACAGGCCAGAGAGCUACCACGCGAGGCUCACCCUAAGCAGCGGCACCUCUGGUUGGUCUUGCACCUGUCUGCGCCGGAAUCUUACAGGUUUAAGUAGAGGCCUUCGCGGGGUUCAGUCACGUGUGCCCGACGCGGGCGCGGUGGGAACCUUUCUCUCUAAUUGUAACAGCCUCUCAUGAGGGGGCGGAGUGUUGCACGAGGUUAUCGAGAGGGCGUCACCGCCUACGGCCUGGAGAGCUGGAUCCCGGCCUUCCCGGGCUCCUCGCGCCCUCCCCUGACCUUGGAAUGUAUGUUCUGCCCACCACUCCCGUGGUGGGAGCCAUUUUCAUGAACUCAGUCUUGGCAGACUACGGUGUUGCCGAGACCAUCUAUCUGUACGGUGUAUAUAUACACUCCGAAGAUUCUGGCGGGCGGGUGCGGAGAUGUACUGGAGUUGCUGCGGCGCAGGGCAUGCCUCGUUCCGAAGCUCCCUCGCUUAACCUGCCACCUACCCCUCUGUAGUGGCUGCGUCUUUCUUCGGUCUCUCCUUGCCCUCUGUGUGUGUGGGGGGUCAGUUUGCGAACCAAAAGGGACUGUAAGGAAUGAAGAGGGAGGCCUUCAUUCCCGUCUCAUGGGAAUAUCCUGAAUUACAUUGCCUUCUCUGCACCCUGAAAAGUUUCAGCUGCAGAUAGCUGCUGAUUCCAGGCUUCAGAUGAAAAGCCACAGCUUUCCUCAAGCCAGAGCAGGAACUGUUUUUCUCAGUGGGCUGCUAAGCCUGAACACUGGGUUCCCCGGAGCUCCCUUAAACAGACCAGACCACACCACUUGGGCAAGGUUUUGAAAAACCAAAAAGACUCGGGAAGAGGCUGCCUGGUCCAGCAACCCUGAUAAACAAUUCAAUGAUCACCUCAGGGAAAGCAGCAAACGUGAAAAUUUGGUGGCUUAGGCCAUAUUUCACAUCCUUGGAGGGCUGUUUGUAUGUUUUGUAUCAUAGCUACCAGUCACAGGAAAAUCAACAAGAAAAGAAAACUUGUGAUGUGCCUGACACAGAUGGUGCCUGUGGCCUCUUCUGCAAUUGGAGGUGAGGACUGUGUGUUCACAGUGGUAGCCAGAUCUUCCUCCUGAUUCUUGUGUUUGCAAGCCUAUGAGACCUCAUUCAGCAAAAUAAUGGCCUUCUGGCUGAAGUGUACACAAAGGAUCAAAGAAAAGUAGUAUCUUAGUAUGAAGAUUGCUGAUGACUUAUGAUCUACUGCUCAUCUUUAUAAUGUCAGAGAUUGGAAAAGAUCCCAUGCCAGAUAGAAUGUAAAUACUUUGACCCUCUGCCUCCAGAACACUUUCCCACUAAAGAUCGUCUUAUUGAUCCUCUCAGGUAUGAGUGAUUUUUCUUAAGUUUUCCUUAAGUAAGACAG